GCUACGGGAGAGGAAGGGCGGCUACAGAGCUCCGGCGGGGCUCCCCCACUGCCAACACCAUGUCUACACUGCAGGCUUACUGCUCUGCGCUGACCUGGUCUGAACAACGGUAUUUCGCUAAAUAUCCGUUUCAUCAGAUUAGGACAACUUACACGACGGUAGGAUUUAAUAGGAAAAAUUAGACAGGGUCUCUAUUCCUUUCUAAGUUCACUACAGACCUAACAACAAAGUGGCCCGAAUUCUGCGUCAGGUGCUAUUCACUGCUGGUAAUUACAGUUCACAGGACAUGGAACUGACUAGGGUACAAGUCAUUGCGUUUUCUUGACAAGACUUCUGUUUUUUUCCAUACUUUAUGACUUAGAAAUAACGAUCAGGCCUCAUUUUAAACGUGCUUGUCAUCCGGCAGACUUCUAGGAAGACGGGCGGCCCAGCCGAGGACCUCAGGGCAGCCUUCUGCUCUUCCUGCUGCUCCGGGCGGGCGCUCAGCCCCACAGGUGUUCGUCGGGCCCCUGGCCCAAGCAGUGGGCGACACGGACUCCCCGCCUCCCGGGGCUUCAUCCCCACGCGGAGACUGACACGCGACUCGACAAAUACUUUGAGUGCAGACUCCGUGCCCAGCUCUGUUCUGGGCACCGGGGACAGGACAGUGCACGUCAAUCAUCUGAAGGACGGGGAAAACCCGAACUGAAAUGAACACAUUUCUAUGCACCAUCCUUAAGGAGUCUGACUUGUGGGGCCAGGAGUCCAGGCGCCCAGCAUGCCUGACACCAGCACCACCCUCUGACGGGCGCUAUAGACGGAGAAGCACUUUGCCCGGCCUUCUCCUCCAAGUGUCCGUCUGUGGGACAUCCCAACUCCUGGGGAGACCAGAAAAAUCCUUCCAGGAAUAAAUGACCUUUUUGGUUA